UUAGAGUUUGAUCCUGGCUCAGGGUGAAUGCUAGCGGUGCGCCUAACACAUGCAAGUCGAGCGAGAGUAGUAGCAAUACUACAAAAGCGGCAGACGGGUGAGGAACACGUUGGUACCUCCCCUUUAGUCAGGGAUAGCCAGCCGAAAGGCUGAUUAAUACCGGAUAGUCUCUUCGGAGUAAAGAUUUAUCGCUAAAGGAAGGGCCUGCGUUCUAUCAGCUAGUUGGUGAGGUAAUAGCUCACCAAGGCUAUGACGGAUAGCUGAUCUGAGAGGAUGAUCAGCCACAAUGGAACUGAGACACGGUCCAUACUCCUACGGGAGGCAGCAGUGAGGAAUCUUCCACAAUGGACGAAAGUCUGAUGGAGCGACACCGCGUGAAGGAUGAAGGGGGAAACUUUGUAAACUUCUUUUCUGAGGGAGCAUAAUGAGAGUACUUCAGGAAUAAGGGACGGCAAAUCUCGUGCCAGCAGCCGCGGUAAUACGAGAGUCCCAAGCAUUGCCCGGAAUCACUGGGUGUAAAGCGUAUGUAGGUGGUUUGGUAAGUAGGGUAUGAAAGACCGAAGCUUAACUUCGUGUUUGUGCUCUAAACUGCCAUUCUUGAAUUAGGAAGAGGUAAGCGGAAUUCUAAGUGUAGGGGUGCAAUCCGUAGAUACUUAGAAGAACACCAAAAGCGAAGGCAGCUUACUGGGACUAUAUUGACACUGAGAUACGAAAGCGUGGGGAGCGAAAAGGAUUAGAUACCCUUGUAGUCCACGCCCUAAACGAUGAUAAUUAAGUGUUGCGCUUGUCGCAGUGCUGUAGCUAACGCGUUAAAUUAUCCACCUGAGAAGUACGGUCGCAAGAUUAAAACUCAAAGGAAUAGACGGGGACCCACACAAGCAGUGGAUCAUGUUGUUUAAUUCGACAAUAAACGGGGAACCUUACCCAGACUUGACAUCCUAGGAAUCCACUGGAAACAGAGGAGUGCUCGCAAGAGAGCCUAGAGACAGGUGCUGCAUGGUUGUCGUCAGCUCGUGCCUUGAGGUGUUCGGUUAAGUCCGUUAACGAGCGAAACCCACGUUGCUAGUUACUAUGUCUAGCAAGACUGCCUGAGUUAAUCAGGAGGAAGGAGUGGAUUACGUCAAAUCAGCAUGGCUUUUACGUCUGGGGCCACAAACAUGAUACAAUGGCGCGUACAAAGAGUAGCAAUUCAGUAAUGAUGAGCAAAUCUAUAAAACGCGUCUCAGUCCGGAUUGGGGGCUGAAACUCGUCCCCAUGAAGUUGGAAUUGCUAGUAAUCGUGAAUCAGACAUGUCACGGUGAAUAUGUUCCUGGGUCUUGUACUCACCGCCCGUCACGGCAUGGGAGGUAGUAAUAUCGGAAGCCCCUCAAAUAAUACGAGGGUCCAUGGUAGGACUACUGACUGGGCUGAAGUCGUAACAAGGUAGCCGUA
rnacentral:rRNA from 1 species